CACGGGGGGAGCAAGCGUUGUUCGGAAUCACUGGGCGUAAAGGGCGUGUAGGCGGUCUGGUAAGUGGGAUGUGAAGCCCCCGGCUCACCCGGGGGAUCUGCAUUCCAAACUGCCAGACUUGAGUAUGGGAGAGGACAGGGGAAUUCCUGGUGUAGCGGUGAAAUGCGUAGAUAUCGAGGAGGAACACCGGUGGCCGAAAAGCGCCUGUCUGGGCCCGAA
rnacentral:rRNA from 1 species